rnacentral:rRNA from 1 species
GAUGAACGCUGGCGGCGUGCCUAAUACAUGCAAGUCGAGCGAACGGACGAGAAGCUUGCUUCUCUGAUGUUAGCGGCGGACGGGUGAGUAACACGUGGGUAACCUACCUAUAAGACUGGGAUAACUUCGGGAAACCGGAGCUAAUACCGGAUAAUAUUUUGAACCGCAUGGUUCAAAAGUGAAAGACGGUCUUGCUGUCACUUAUAGAUGGAUCCGCGCUGCAUUAGCUAGUUGGUAAGGUAACGGCUUACCAAGGCAACGAUGCAUAGCCGACCUGAGAGGGUGAUCGGCCACACUGGAACUGAGACACGGUCCAGACUCCUACGGGAGGCAGCAGUAGGGAAUCUUCCGCAAUGGGCGAAAGCCUGACGGAGCAACGCCGCGUGAGUGAUGAAGGUCUUCGGAUCGUAAAACUCUGUUAUUAGGGAAGAACAUAUGUGUAAGUAACUGUGCACAUCUUGACGGUACCUAAUCAGAAAGCCACGGCUAACUACGUGCCAGCAGCCGCGGUAAUACGUAGGUGGCAAGCGUUAUCCGGAAUUAUUGGGCGUAAAGCGCGCGUAGGCGGUUUUUUAAGUCUGAUGUGAAAGCCCACGGCUCAACCGUGGAGGGUCAUUGGAAACUGGAAAACUUGAGUGCAGAAGAGGAAAGUGGAAUUCCAUGUGUAACGGUGAAAUGCGCAGAGAUAUGGAGGAACACCAGUGGCGAAGGCGACUUUCUGGUCUGUAACUGACGCUGAUGUGCGAAAGCGUGGGGAUCAAACAGGAUUAGAUACCCUGGUAGUCCACGCCGUAAACGAUGAGUGCUAAGUGUUAGGGGGUUUCCGCCCCUUAGUGCUGCAGCUAACGCAUUAAGCACUCCGCCUGGGGAGUACGACCGCAAGGUUGAAACUCAAAGGAAUUGACGGGGACCCGCACAAGCGGUGGAGCAUGUGGUUUAAUUCGAAGCAACGCGAAGAACCUUACCAAAUCUUGACAUCCUUUGACAACUCUAGAGAUAGAGCUUUCCCCUUCGGGGGACAAAGUGACAGGUGGUGCAUGGUUGUCGUCAGCUCGUGUCGUGAGAUGUUGGGUUAAGUCCCGCAACGAGCGCAACCCUUAAGCUUAGUUGCCAUCAUUAAGUUGGGCACUCUAAGUUGACUGCCGGUGACAAACCGGAGGAAGGUGGGGAUGACGUCAAAUCAUCAUGCCCCUUAUGAUUUGGGCUACACACGUGCUACAAUGGACAAUACAAAGGGCAGCGAAACCGCGAGGUCAAGCAAAUCCCAUAAAGUUGUUCUCAGUUCGGAUUGUAGUCUGCAACUCGACUACAUGAAGCUGGAAUCGCUAGUAAUCGUAGAUCAGCAUGCUACGGUGAAUACGUUCCCGGGUCU